rnacentral:lncRNA from 1 species
UAGGCUAAGCUGGCUUCGUCAUCAAUAUCUUAAGUGGUUGCUUUGUCCCCUCUGUCUAUAGAAUGGGAGUAACAGAGCUGCUGCACUUGAUGCUGGUUGAGAAGAGAAGAGAUCAAACACAACUGUGAGGUUAACGAUGUAGUGGAGGCUGCUGAAACCUGAAGUGGGCAGAUGCCGUGGAUACAGAUGAGCUCAGAUCCAGCUUGUAGCAGCCUUCUGAUGAUGUCUGAAGAUGAUUACGGAGGUUGCUGGGAUGGAGGAUCUGGCACUUCUUCACCUGCUC